GACGAACGCUGGCGGCGUGCUUAACACAUGCAAGUCGAACGGAAAGGCCCUGCUUUUGUGGGGUGCUCGAGUGGCGAACGGGUGAGUAACACGUGAGUAACCUGCCCUUGACUUUGGGAUAACUUCAGGAAACUGGGGCUAAUACCGCAUAGGAGCUCCUGCUGCAUGGUGUGGGUUGGAAAGUUUCGGCGGUUGGGGAUGGACUCGCGGCUUAUCAGCUUGUUGGUGGGGUAGUGGCUUACCAAGGCUUUGACGGGUAGCCGGCCUGAGAGGGUGACCGGCCACCUGGGGCCUGCGAUACGGCGCAGACUCCUACGGGAGGCAGCAGUGGAGAAUAUUGCACAACGGGCGGAAGCCUGAUGCAGCAACGCCGCGUGCGGGAUGACGUCCUUCGGGUGGUAAACCGCUUUCGCAUGUGACGAAGCGUGAGUGACGGUAAUGGGUAAAGAAGCACCGGCUAACUACGUG
rnacentral:rRNA from 1 species